ACAUCCAUGAUACUUCUUUGAUGCUUAAUCAAAUGUCCUCUUUUACCUUCCAGCAAUUGAGUACUCCUGGCGGUUUGUGUACCAUGUUGUCAGGAUCACGCUGUUCGUCAUCUUAGUGAUAACUUUCUGUGUCGCAUCAAUGUGUGGGUGUAAAGGAAAAUCCAGGGACACAUCGAGCCGCCGCUGCCAGCCCUCCCAUGAUGCCUUGCCUGCCAACCAUAUCCAUGAUAACGUGCCUUUGUCUGCACCUUGAAAUCAAUCUGCUAAGUUCAAAUGGUUAAUAUCAAAACAUUUCGCAUUCAUUUCAAGGUUUUGUAACCUGUAACGUGUAUCUGAUUUAUUCACAUAUUUCUUUUACCAAUUUGUGUUUAUCAAUGUGUUUUGUAUUGAUUGAGUUUUAAUGCCCUUGAAGUAAUCAUUGUUUUUACAUUGACAAUAUAUGAUACAUUUGUACAUAAUGAUGUGUUUACUGAGGUGAAUAACAUUGAAUAUUGCUGUUGACUCCAUUCUGUGGUUUUGUAUUCCUGUAAUCAAGCCGUAAUAACACAGAAGUGAAAUUUCUCACAUGAGAAACUGCUGCUCGCAGUGUGGUCGUGGGCAGAGCGCAACACAUAGUUUUGCUUCCUGUACGGACACACGUCUUUGUUCACACGUUUGGUGCAGAUCCCCCUUUAUUAAAUGCGAUUGUCUCUUUAUCUA